GUUGCAUCUUGUGCAAAGGUAUCAAUAACUGUCGAGAUGAUAAAACAAUUUUUAGUGCAAGCUAUCUUAUUAUUUAUUUGCAAUCAAGUGCAAUGUACUGAAAACGCAAAUUCUUUCCAAAUAUUUAAAUUGGAGAGCAAUUUAGAAAAGAAAGUAAUUGUUGGCAAAGGGUAUACAAAUAAUGGUAAAUUAAUUUCGGUCAUUACGCAACCAUUUGUCAUUACCAGAGAUAUUGAAGUGAAAGAUCUUAAAAUAGAGCCAAACGUUGAUGUUAUCGUUAAGGCCGGUCCAAAAUAUGGCUUCCAGUAUGUAGGACCGGCUCCAGUCACUAAAAACUUAGAAAAACAUAGUGCAGAUCUGUUUAAAGGACAGAAUACGUUGGUGGAUACAUCAGGUAAUAGCAAAACUGUAUUUAGUACUACCGAAGCGUAUGUGAUUCCUCCAGAGCACGCAGUUUUUGCUGAGUCUGAUAAAGCAUACACAAUUGGAGUUGCGAGAGGAGAUAACAGUGACUGGGAAAUUGAAAAAAUGUAUGAAGCGAUCAAAGCGCUUAAUGCUUCAUUGACUGAUAUUAAGUAAUAUUACUUAAACGUUAUUUAUUAAAUGCUCAUUUGUUUAUGGCAAGUAAUAACAUGUGGAA